rnacentral:rRNA from 1 species
GCAUAAUAAUUUGCCUCCUAAUUAGAGGCUGGCAUGAAUGAAUUAACGAGAGUCUAACUGUUUCAUUUUUAUACCUAAAAACUAUCCUUAAAAUGAAGAGAUUUUAAUAUAUUAAAAAGACAAAAAGACCCUAUUGAGCUUUAUCUUAAAAUGGGCCUCAAAUUAAAUUAUUAUAUUUUCCCCUAUUAAAGAUUUUGUUGGGGCGACAUAAGAAGAAUUAAAUCUUCUUACACUACACAGGAUACCCUCCCCCAUAAUGAUCCGUUUACACGAUUAAAGAAACCAGCUACCAUAGGGAUAACAGGCUAAUCUUCCUUGAGAGCCCAAAUUGACAGGAAGGU